GAAAACACUGAUUCGUUCAAGAACGGAACACCACCUGCUGUGGCUUUCCUCUGCAGAGUGGAAACAGACAAGGCUGCGGAGAGACCGGCGAGACUGGAAUACUGCAGCCUGCUGGGAAAACAUCACUGGUCCACUUCCUCACCCUUAAAC